rnacentral:rRNA from 1 species
UACGGAGGGUGCGAGCGUUGUCCGGAUUUAUUGGGUUAAAGGGUGCGUAGGUGGCCCUGUAGUAUAGUGUGGAAUGAACAGCCGCUUAACGGUUGAGGUGCCAUUGAUACUGCAGGGCUUGAAACAAGUGGAGGCUGCCGGAAUGGAUGGUGUAGCGGUGAAAUGCAUAGAUAUCAUCCAGAACACCGAUUGCGAAGGCAGGUGGCUACGUUUGAUUUGACACUGAGGCACGAAAGCAUGGGGAGCAAACAGG